rnacentral:tRNA from 1 species
UCCCUGUUGGCUCAGUGGUAAAGAGUCUGCCUGCAAUGCAGGAGACCUGGGUUCGAUCCCUGUGUUGGGAA